rnacentral:rRNA from 1 species
UACGGAGGAUCCAAGCGUUAUCCGGAUUUAUUGGGUUUAAAGGGUGCGUAGGUGGCCUGUUAAGUCAGGGGUGAAAGCCUCCAGCUUAACUGGAGAAGUGCCUCUGAUACUGGUCGUCUUGAGGGAGGUAGGGGCAUGUGGAACUUCCGGUGGAGCGGUGAAAUGCGUAGAUAUCGGAAGGAACGCCGGUGGCGAAAGCGACGUGCUGGACCUCUUCUGACGCUGAGGCGCGAAAGCUAGGGGAGCGAACGGG